GCAAGUCGAAUGAUUUUAGAAUCAUGGCAGACGAGGUAGGAACACGUAGGUACGUACCCUAGAGUCAGGGAUACUCCGGUGAAAAUCGGCAUAAUACUUGAUGGUCCCUUCGGGGUAAAAAUUUAUUGCUCUAGGAACGGCCUGCGGUCUAUCAGCUUGAUGGUAAGGUAACGGCUUACCAUGGCUACGACGGAUAGGGGAGGUGAGAGCCUGACC
rnacentral:rRNA from 1 species